rnacentral:rRNA from 1 species
GACGAACGCUGGCGGCGUGCUUAACACAUGCAAGUCGAACGGUAAGGCCCUUCGGGGUACACGAGUGGCGAACGGGUGAGUAACACGUGGGUGAUCUGCCCUGCACUUCGGGAUAAGCCUGGGAAACUGGGUCUCAUACCGGAUAGGACCACUGCCUGCAUGGGUGGUGGUGGAAGGCUUUUGCGGUGUGGGAUGGGCCCGCGGCCUAUCAGCUUGUUGGUGGGGUGAUGGCCUACCAAGGCGACGACGGGUAGCCGGCCUGAGAGGGUGACCGGCCACACUGGGACUGAGAUACGGCCCAGACUCCUACGGGAGGCAGCAGUGGGGAAUAUUGCACAAUGGGCGCAAGCCUGAUGCAGCGACGCCGCGUGAGGGAUGACGGCCUUCGGGUUGUAAACCUCUUUCAGCACCGACGAAGCGCAAGUGACGGUAGGUGCAGAAGAAGGACCGGCCAACUACGUGCCAGCCGCCGCGGUAA